UACGUAGGGGGCAAGCGUUGUCCGGAUUUAUUGGGCGUAAAGAGCGUGUAGGCGGCUUUACAGGUCCGUUGUGAAAACUCGAGGCUCAACCUCGAGACGCCGGUGGAAACCGUAAGGCUAGAGUCCGGAAGAGGAGAGUGGAAUUCCUGGUGUAGCGGUGAAAUGCGCAGAUAUCAGGAAGAACACCCGUGGCGAAGGCGGCUCUCUAGGACGGUACUGACGCUGAGGCGCGAAGGCCAGGGGAGCAAACGGG
rnacentral:rRNA from 1 species